rnacentral:ncRNA from 1 species
GCAUGGAAAUAAGGGAGCUUGUAAACAGGCUGAGAGGAAGUUGUGAACUUCGACCGAUUACCUGAUUUGGAUAAUGCCAACGUAGGGACUGCAGGAAAUAUCGCG